CGAACUGCGGCCUCGAGCCCCGCCCUCCCCUCCCCCACGCCGACCGCCUCCCUAAGGGGGCACGGCCGGAGGAGGAAAAAAGUUGCAGGCUCGAACUCUGCCCCCUGCUGGCCGUCAGUGGGAUUGCAGAGCCGUCCUCAAGAGAGUCUGGUCCUCUGAAAGGCAAAGUCACUAUGCAAUCCGAAACAAAAAAUGAACCAACACUCUAAAAACUGGCUAUCUGGAAAUCUCUAGUGAAAAGUUGCUGAGAAGAAAAUGCCUAGAACAAGGUUCCUGAGUAGCCGGGACAGUAGGCCUAGGCCACCAGGCUCAAAAAGAGGCUACUGUCUUGAAGGCCAGAGUCCUCAGCCUGAGAAGAACCAAGACCACCCAUCACCAUCACCACCCCAGUCUGACUAUCACCGUACAUUCUCUC